rnacentral:lncRNA from 1 species
UUUUUUUUUUUUUUAAUAAUUUUUUUAUUUUCCCACUGUACAGCAAGGGGGUCAGGUUAUCCUUACAUGUAUACAUUACAAUUACAUUUUUCCCCCACCCUUUGUUCUGUUGCAACAUGAGUAUCUAGACAAAGUUCUCAAUGCUAUUCAGCAGGAUCUCCUUGUAAAUCUAUUCUAAAUUGUGUCUGAUAAGCCCAAGCUCCCGAUCCCUCCCACUCCCUCCCGAGGCUGUUUUAAAUUAUCUUUGGUUACUAACAAUGCCACAGUGACCAUUCUCACGCUCAUUAAAUCCUUUUCCUCACAUAUCUAUGCACUGAUGAUACAUUCAUUAAAAAGGUGAAUCAGUACAUUAAAAUUACGUUCAUUUUAAUUUUGGUAGAUCAUCAGAAGUUCUCCUCCAUAAAAAUAUAACCAAUUUACACUCUCGCAAGAGUGUAUGGGAGCUUUUUUUCUAUAUAUUACUGUACUAUUUUUAGUCCAAAGAUUGCCAAUAACUUUUCUGAUUGUCCCUAGGAGAGUAAUCCUCUUUCCAUCAUUGUCUUAAGAACCUGAGUUUUUUCAUCACUGAGUUUUAGUUGUCCCUUGGCAGCAGAGGCUGGACAUAGGGGAGUCCAACAGUGACCAGUUCACUCUGUGUUGAACACAUCAUUACUAUCAGCUUUUAACUUCAAAGUAUUGACCUUUGCUGCCAUAUAUAUUGGUGGUGAGAACCAACUUUUAAAUGAGCUGCUUUGGGUGAGAGGCCUUGGUAAAGCCCAGUACAGACGCACUUUGAGCCUUGGUUUCUCCACCUUUAUGAAGAGGAUAGUAAUCCCCCGACUCUUCCCAACCCUUUUCGGCCCAGCAGAGCACCUGCUCAAUGCCAGACGAAGUGCAGGGCCUCAAAGAUGCCACACUGAGUAGUUAUGAUUCCCAAAUCAGGAUCCUGUAGUCCAAAACCUUUUUUCCUUUCUUUCCUUUUUCUUCAAAAAUCUUUUAUUUUUCUUAAAGGAAUAAGAAGUUAAGGGUUUGUUUGGUAAGAACCCCUGAAGAGAAACUCUUUCUCACUCUCUUUAAUAUGAAUAAUUCCAAAAUAAUAUUAACUAGAAAUGGAAGAAAAGGAACAUACUGUAUGAAGGGCCUCUUCAAUAAUAAAUGCUAAGCAGCUGUAAAAAUACAGAGUCAAAUGAUACUUUCAUAAAGUGUUUGCAAAAUUAGAAAAUAUUAUCCUUUUUCUAGGAGGAAAUGGACAUUUUUAUUUUCUCUGCUAAGUAAUAUGUAACAAUUUCAAAAGUCAACAAACUCGAAUGUUACAGUAUACAGAACAAAGAGAACUAAGCCAAAGUUAAAACAGCUUCCAUGCUCUACUGGCUAUAAAUUUCGAGAGGAUGAGAACUUUAAAAUAGACUAUGUCUGUGAACUUAACUUUAGAAAUAAAAUCCCGAGAUGUUUUAACCACGCCUAUCCACACAUAAUAGCACUGUGCCUGCAUGAUGAUUAUGUAAAUAUUCAAUGCAAUUCUGUAUUUGCUUUCUUCAUAUGACUCUUUCCAUUUAACUAAUAUGGCUUUUGUUAUUUUUUUAAGUUCGAAUUUCACUCCCAGGGUACAGGGGUGGUCUGAAGGAACGUGGCAUCAGAUUAAUAGCUCUGACCCCUUUCCAGUCCUGUUCCCUCAUCACCAAAAUAUUCUAUAUCACUUUACCCUUUUAUUCCCCUUUACAUUGUUUCUCAAUUUGUAAUGAUCUUUUUGUUUAUUGUCUUCUUUAAUAAUGAGAGUAAGAAUGGGAGUGAGCUCCCUGAUGGUAGGGAUUUGUCUCCUUCACCACUGUAGGAAAGAUCUAGCACCAUGAGGGAGGGUCUAACAGGGCCUGUCACAGAGUAGGUGUUCAUUAUACACUUGCCAAAUAGAAUGGGUAAUGUGCUGUCCAUAACUAGGACUUAGUUCCCACUUUUAACUCUUAUGCCCUUGUAUUUAUCCACUUAAAACACUUGGUGCUACCAGAUGCCAGACACCACUACAAAGUCCUAGAGAUUCAAUGCAAAGCAGAUGGGGUCCUAGCCUUUAUGUGAUUUAUAUUUUAUGCAAAGGACGUUCAACCAAAGCUUUUUCCAUUUAUUUUCUUUAUUCCCCUUCUUUAUCCUGUAUCUGAACUUCUAGGCCCUUUAAUGUUCAUUGCCUCAAGAAAGGUGUGUGACAUCAGAAAGCAGAGGAAUGCAUGCUCUUUUGAGUUUCAAAAAUCUGGCUCCUUAGGGAACUGGAAAGGAUUCAUGAUUUAGAUCAAAGAUGUGAGAGCACAUAGGAGGAAGAGCAAAGUGUUCCUACUUCCUGUUUAGGAAAAAUUUUCCUUGCCAUGGUAAAGAAGAAAGAACAAAAAUGUUGGGAAGGCUGAGAGAAAGGGGCAGGGCCCCACCUCCUGGGCCACCUUCCUGGGAGCGGCAAAACCCAAUUAUAUGUGUUAGUUUUGAAAGCAGAGAAGGCCCAUUCCUUGCUGUACCCUAGGAUGGAAAUGACUGCAUGGUGUGUGUAGCAGAUGGAGCCUUGAACCGCUUCACUGAGCUUCCUCUGGCUUCCUCACCUGUGGCCCAGAUUGGAAGAUCAGAUUGAUUUCUAUGAACCCAAAAGGAUCCAAGAAGUAACAGGAGGACCAACUGGACCUGACUGAGGAUGUUUUCCCUAUUCAAUCCACAUAGCCUCUCAGUGGAACCCAAUUUGGACAGUGACAUCAGACCAUCCAAACCCAGAGGGCCCUGGCACUAAGUCCGCCUCUCAGAGAUUAGCAAUGACCAGAGAAUGGAGAGAACAGCAAGUUGACUGAGAUUAGUUAUGGGUCAAGAUCAUUUAUUCCCUAUCCCUGAUGGUUCCUGGAUGGUAAAUACUCCUUUAGCGUAAUACCUCUGGCCUAUCUCUGCCUCUGCACCCUCAGGUAGGAACUUACAUGCUUGGUGAGUAUGGCAUAAAGAAAAGGACAUGGACUGUUUUUAGAACAUUUCUUACUAUAGUCUCCUGUCUCUGAUCCAUGCAAACACUGCCUAUUUGUUUUUCAGGUCUUUCUCAUGUAUUACCUGGAUAAUGACAAUGGAGGCAAUAUACAUUUCUCCCUCCCUGUGACACCCGUUUCCAUUCUUGACCCCUUCCUCUUUUUCUCCAGCCUCAUUUAGCAUCCCCAGUAGUCACUCAGAUAGACCGUCCUGUGUAGGAAGUGUCUUCUGCCUCAUAUCCUUAUCAGAUUGCUUCUCAUCCUUCAAGGCAAGCUCAAUUCGCCUCCUGUGUAAGAUCCUCGCCCAAGGUGCCCUCCCCAUGCCCAGCACUGGCACUCUCCAGGUGCCCCCCUGCAUUGGUUCACCCAUGUCCGUCCAACUUCCCCACUAGGGGGUGGUGGAGUAAGGAAACCCCCCCAAGAUGAGGUGCUGACCUGUUUGUCCAAACAUCUUUACUAAUUUAUUUAUAUCUAGUGAUCUGAGUUACUGAGUCUUCAAGGCUUGAGAUCUGAUCCCACCUUCUUUUGGGGGCUUCCUCUCUCCAUAUGGUAACAAGCAUCAGAACCCUGGAUAAAACCAACUAGUCUCUCUCACUGUGGCUAUCCCAUUCAACAUCAGCAGCUAGGUGAGUAAAUCAGUCAGAGAUUGCCUUAGAUAGUCUGUUGUUUCUUACUUGUCUAUUGUAGCAGUGGGGUGUUUUUAUCUAGAACCUGGACUGUGAGAAAGUUACCUGGGAGGAGACAUGCCCUAAAACCCUUCCCCAUCCCCCAUACUGCAAACCUUUUCAUAAAGCCUCAGUCGCACUAUUUUUGCAAUGACUUUGGGUGGGAAAGGGUGGCAUCUGUCUGUCCUACUAACCUUUGAGCCCUUUAAAUCGGUGUCCAUGAAUUGUUUUUUUAUCCCUCUCACAGAGCAUGACAUGGUUCAAUAAAUGUUUAUAGAAUACAUUUUAAAAGAGAUUCAUUGCUUUCAAAAAUUUUUAUGGCUGUUUCCUGCUUCUGAUUGAGAAAAAAAAAAAAGGAAACGAAAAAGAAAAUGAGAUGAGGGUGAACUAAGCAUGUCUGUACCAACUAGUUCUACUAGAGUUGGAACAAUGUAAUGGAUUUUGCUGAGAAGAAAGUGUGUGCUGCAUAAGUCUGACCAUAAAACUCACAGUAUGAUUGCGGUGGAAACAUUGUAAAGCACAUGUGAAGACAUGGUUGAUUGCCCGAGGUUUUGAAUACAUAAUAACAAUGAUUUUUGUAGGAAAGGGUAGAUAAAGCCCAAAAGCAAAAUACAUGUGCAUUUCAAGGCAACAGCAUUAAACUUCAGUUCUGACAGGUUAAUUAAUCAUAUGGCUGAAGAAUUGAUUUGGCACAGGGAGUUAUGUAUAGCCACAGUAUUCUGAAAGUUCAGAAAUUAUACCAUUUGUAACUAAGCCCAGUGGAAUUGCUUGUGUGUGCGGUUUCGCAAUUGAGAAAUUCAUCUUUCAUCAGCAAAAUAUGGGAAAACAGGAAGACAAAACAAAUGGAGUGAAUAAUAAAGUUACUUGACAUAUAGAUAGUUCAGGUCAGGUAUUUCUCUGAAAUGGAAUUUGAAAAGACGUUUGUGGGCAGAUCCUAUUUCUGUAUACUGAGUGGUUUUAUCAUUCAGGGAAGUAAACCAUGCGUUGAAUCUAAUGCCAGGUUUUUAUUUUAGUGUGGUGAUCACAUGGCUUAUAUAUGAUUCUGUGAUCACCACAAAAAAAUAAAAUAAAAAAAUAAAAAGUGGCACCAAAUUAAAAGCAGCAGUUACUUCUCUAAGUAGUAAAAGUACGCAAUAUAAGGAAAAUCUGAAGGGAAUAAUGUACAUGAUAGACUAAAGUCUACAAAAUUUAAAGAAUAUGACACAAUGGUGGCUCCUCACUCACAAAUGGACCCUUGUUGUGACCCACACAAGGUGAAAAGUCUGUGAAGUUAUCUCUGUUGUCCCCGUGUUGCUUGGUUGUUCAUUGAUUCCGUUCUUUCUAUCUUUUUGAGUAGCAUAUUCCUGUUUAGUAUUUCACAAAAUGUAAGACACUAUUCAUUGUAAGACAUAUCAUUAUUUUAUGUAUCAAUGAAAAUGAAAAAAAAAGCAUCUAAAAUAGACAUAGUACUUUGAAUUUUUGUCUUAUGGCCUUUUAAGUGAAUCUAAGGACUACUUGAACGUAGUUUUUUUCCUCAUGUAUAUAUAAAGGAAAAUGAAAUACAAAUAAAUUGUAAUAUUCCU